CCCCCCCCCGCGACAUCGCCUCCCCCUCGCGGCAGCGUCGUGGGUCGUGGCGGCGGCGGCGUCGAGCUCCGUGGCCGCGCGAGGUCCGCAUCCUGGACCCGAAGGAGGGCGGCGUCGUGGACCUCCCUGGGGUCGACGGCGCCGACCGCGAGGAGGCGGCGGCGGCGGCGAGGGCGAUGGCAAGGGCGCGCGAGUGCGGCGUCUACGUCGGGCACCGCGGGCCGCCGUGGACGCGGCCGUGGUCGGGGUGCUCGUCGUCACGCCGGCGACAUUCCGCAACCCCUACACCUUCGAGGACGUCCGGGCCUUCCUGGACCACGGCGCGGCAUCCGAGCAGCCGAUGCAUCCGAGUGGCGCCUGCACGCUCGGCCCCUCCCUCCUCCGCGGGCCGCGCCCCCUCCGAUGCGCCCCGGCCCCCGCCCCUACCCUGCAGCUGCCUCCGAGAACACCAGCCUCCCCCCGCGCCCCGUCUCCCGCGCCCGCGGCCGCGCGCCGUGCCUCUCCGCCGCACUUCAAAAGUGGUCCUACCCCGCUGCCGCCACCAAUGCCGAGCCAGCUGGCACCUCCCCGCACUGCUGAAUCAUGUCCCGCUCCCACGAAAAUAGCUGCAAAAUUCUGGUGAUUAAUAUUUAUGUUUGCUGCUUUCCAUGUUUUUUUCCGAACAAAUUGAUUUCCAUGUUUUCUCCCACACACGUUUCAGGCAAGGUCGCCCUAAAACACGACGAUACGCGCGAGCGUCGCCUCGUCCGGCCGCCAAGCGUCGGCCGGCCGCUGAUUUGAAGGAGAACAUACUGAGCUGUGGCAGCAGAUAGGCAAUCUUCUAUAGAACAGAUUCAGAAGCUCUGCGAACUUUUCAGCAAGUGUGAUUGCACACUGCUGGAGGUAUGCAGUGAGAAAAGGUUCUCAUUUGUAUUGCUUAGGUUGCAUCCCUUGAUUCCGUUGAUACUAUUGCUCAUUUGUAUUGCAUACUAUUGCUCAGAUUUCCAAUGAUUGCAUCCCUUGAUUCCGUUGCAAUGUUUUGUUGUAAGAUAUGUAGUCCUAAGAAAUUAGGUUGUUCAUAGCUUCUAAUUUAUCACUAUAUAUAAGUUAUUUAUGAUUUAACUGGCUUCUUGCAGGGUCUGAGAGGACUUUAUGCGUGCUUUUAUCCUCCACUUUCUCAACGCAGGUGCCUCCACCUCGACGCAGGCGUCGCCUCCUUGUCCUCGCUCAAGUGCUCAGAAGAUGAAACGAAGAGAAGACUGGAGAGCUCGCCAAAUCACGCUGCCUCCCUUGCUCAUCCUCUCUCCUCCCACGGUUGGCAACCCCAGGCAACAAAAGGUAAGCAAUCCCCUUCACAGCCGCCCACAGCUUGCGUGUCCAGCAGAAGAGGUCACCUCUUAUCCUUCUCUAUUUACCAUUCGAGCAGUCUGUGAUUCGUUGAUUGAAUGAGACUUAACUGUGGAGUUUUUUGUUUUGUGUGUGCAUGUGAAGAACUGCAGAUAUGUAUUGCUGGAAUAUGCGCAGCAGAGUGGUGGUGGAGUUGCUCGUGCUCAGAUCGUAACCUGCAGUUUGAAUUUGAUUAACUUCUGAACCUAAACUCAAUGUAUUUGUAAAAGUAGAGCAAAUUGCAUCAUUUAGGGAUUUUUCUAUUUGCAUCGUGAUAUGUUUGGCUUUCUGGUGGCAGUAUGGCACACCUCCAGAUAUCUGUUUGGAGUUUGGACGGGAUCAGAUAUGCAUAGAUAGUGAUAGACAUCCAACAAUUCUAUAUUAGAUUUGAAAUCUUCUAAUCAAUGUAAUUGGUAGGGAAAUUCAAGUAACGAGUCAAAAUGUAGGCUAGCAACUGUAACUGAAUUCAGCAUGGCAGAAGAUGUAGGUGCUUAUCUGGAGAGUUGCCUUUAUCAAUUCCUGCAAUAUAUAUUUAUCUAGAAACAAAUUUGAGCUGUAACUGCACAUACUUUACUCUAGAUUUUUUAUUUUUUUUAUUUAUGUGGAGGUAGAAAACAAUUGUUGGUGUUGGUUCGAUUGAAGUGGACAUAAAUCAACAAGGUAAAAGAACACAGGUAGGCAGCAUAGUAAACAUGAUAAGAAUAGUAUGGUUUACAUACAACAACAACAACAUAGCCUUUUUUCCCAAGCAAGUUGGGGUAGGCUAAUUGUAUGGUUUACAUGAAAACAACAAUUUCAUAUGAAGAGAUCAGUUAAUACACCAUGACAUGGUUAUUUUAGAACAAUUUUUCUUGUGAAUGACUCCAGAGGAAGAUAUAAAAUGCAGGUAGCAUUGUAAACAACUAUCUGUGAUUUUCAGCAAUGGAUUUUGCUGGAUAGUUUUAUAAGUUCAGAUUUGAUUAGUGAUUUUCAGUAAAUAUAUCUGUGCAUGGUAAACAAUUACGUAUUUUUCUUAAUUCAGAUUUGAUCGCGCAUGGAUUGGGAUCAUGUGCCUGUGGCCCUAACAAAACAAAUGAAACUGUAUUUUUGUUCUUUUCAGAUUCUAAUGUUCCCAUGUGCUGCAACCUUCAGUAUUUAUGUGACGGCUAAAACAGCUCCAAAACAAGAAGUGUAACAACUGUAAUCUGAUCUCGCCUUGAGAAUUUUAAGGCAUGCUUUGUUUUCUAAUGUAGACAUAAUCUGUAUGCAAUGUUGGCACAUAGCUAAGCUAUAAACGUUGCCACCUAAGCCAGUUAGAACUAGGCCUCAUCUUUUUCUGCACUUUGCCCAUGUGUAUUUUACUGGUUCAUUACAAUACUGUGAAAUGUGAAAAGUAAUUUGAUUUUCGUUUUUAAUGUCAAUGUUUAAAAACAGGAUAUUCAGCUUGGGAUUCUA